GAUGAACGCUGGCGGCGUGCCUAAUACAUGCAAGUCGAGCGAACGGACGAGAAGCUUGCUUCUCUGAUGUUAGCGGCGGACGGGUGAGUAACACGUGGAUAACCUACCUAUAGGACUGGGAUAACUUCGGGAAACCGUAGCUAAUACCGGAUAAUAUUUUGAACCGCAUGGUUCAAAAGUGAAAGACGGUCUUGCUGUCACUUAUAGAUGGAUCCGCGCUGCAUUAGCUAGUUGGUAAGGUAACGGCUUACCAAGGCAACGAUGCAUAGCCGACCUGAGAGGGUGAUCGGCCACACUGGAACUGAGACACGGUCCAGACUCCUACGGGAGGCAGCAGUAGGGAAUCUUCCGCAAUGGGCGAAAGCCUGACGGAGCAACGUCGCGUGAGUGAUGAAGGUCUUCGGAUCGUAAAACUCUGUUAUUAGGGAAGAACAUAUGUGUAAGUAACUGUGCACAUCUUGACGGUACCUAAUCAGAAAGCCACGGCUAACUACGUG
rnacentral:rRNA from 1 species